CCUACGGGAGGCAGCAGUGGGGACUAUUGCGCAAUGGGCGAAAGCCUGACGCAGCGACGCCGCGUGAGGGAUGAAGGUCUUCGGAUCGUACACCUCUGUCAGCAGGGAAGAACGGUCACUGUGCUAAUCAGCAGUGAAUUGACGGUACCUGCAAAGGAAGCACCGGCUCACUCCGUGCCAGCAGCCGCGGUAAUACGUAGGGUGCGCGCGUUACUCGGAAUUACGGGGCGUAAAGCGCGCGUAGGCGGUAUGUCAAGUCAAGGGUGAAAUCCCCGCGCUCAACGUGGGAACUGCCUUUGAAACUGGCAAACUGGAGUGUGUGAGAGGAUAGUGGAAUUCCAGGGGUAGGAGUGAAAUCCGUAGAUAUCUGGAGGAACAUCAGUGGCGAAGGCGACUAUCUGGCACAUAACUGACGCUGAGGAGCGAAAGCGUGGGUAGCAAACAGGAUUAGAUACCCUUGUAGUC
rnacentral:rRNA from 1 species